CCUCUCUCUCUAGGGACUGGAACCUGGCAGGCAGUGCGUCCCGAGCCCAGACUCCCGCCCGCUCGCCGAUCUCAAGCCACGGACCGCAGAGGUAGCCCGCGGGGUCCGAGCAAGGCGGGAAGCUUGUCCGCACCGCCGGCGGCCGUGGAAUCCCACCUUACCGGGCGCUGGGCACGUCCACCGGCCCGAGGCCACCGCCGGGCCCGGGCCGCGCGUCCCCGCCGUACUUCUCCUCCAUGCAGGCUCAGGAGCCGCUGCCCGCGCCGCGGGCUCUCCUCAUGGCUCGCCGCCGCUGCGGAAGCGCGGGCGCAGGCGCGUCACUCCCCCAUGUCAGCAGCGUCCUCGCAAGCUCGGCAGUCUCCGCCGCUAGCCCGGGCUCGGCAAGCAGGCACACGCACGCUGGGCGGGACUAGGCCGCGGGCUGUUCCGGCAGCGCCGUUCCCCGGAGGCCGUACGGGCAGGAACGUUACCGGGCCACGUCAUCCGCCCCGGCAGCCCUCACUCCCGGGGGAGUGACCAAUCCUGCGCCUGCGCGCUGGUGGACACGUGGCUUCGCUUCACUCAGGCUCCUCCCACCGCUGGGAAGGCUCCGCUCGACCCGCCCCCUCCUCGCGUCUUCAAGAGAAGCCCCUAAGAGGUCCCUGCAGCGCCACCUAAGGUCCAUCUUGGCUACAGCGUGUUCUCCUCGCUCGAGGGAUGGAUGGAUGGUCCCCUAGAAAAUGCAUAUUUGUGUUAACAAACAGAGCUUAGCCCUUUGCUUCAGGGUUCUUCUUUCUUAAACGGCUUCACUUUGUAGCCCAGAUAGACCUAGAACUCAGCAUGUAGCCCAGGCUAGCCUCAUAAACCUGGAUGAUGAAUUUCAGGCGUGAGCCACAUAUAGGCGUUGCUAACUCAAGUGCAUUAACGGUUUUUUUUUGUUUUUUUUUUUUUUUUUUUUCUAAUGAGAAAGCUAAAAGUUUUUUGAAGUGCCUGUGACUCCCACAAAGAGAUUAUUAUUUUUGGAUUUCUGAUGAUACGAUAACGCAGAGUGGGAGGCUAAAACAAUGGAGAAAGGCAACUGCUUGUGGAUUUAAUUGUUGGGCAGGAGUACAGGCUAACCUGCUCAAGUGUGUGAGAGGGAACACAGAAGGAAGGGGCUACAGGUGUGCUAUUGUAAACAAUUUUAUUCCCUUUCUAAAAAUAUUGAUUUUCUUCAAUCCUGUCUUUGAAAUGAUAUUACUUAGUGUAGACAUAUCUAUAUAAAAGCUAUUUUUUUACAGGU
rnacentral:lncRNA from 1 species